CGGCGGCCGUAACUAUAACGGUCCUAAGGUAGCGAAAUUCCUUGUCGGGUAAGUUCCGACCCGCAUGAAAGGCGUAAUGAUUUGGGCGCUGUCUCAACAAUAGACUCGGUGAAAUUUAAAUUCCAGUGAAGAUGCUGGGUACCCGCGACAGGACGGAAAGACCCCGUGGAGCUUUACUGUAGUUUGAUAUUGAAUGUUUGUGCUGCAUGUGCAGGAUAGGUAGGAGACUUUGAAGUCGGAACGCUAGUUUCGAUUGAGUCACCCUUGAGA
rnacentral:rRNA from 1 species